rnacentral:rRNA from 1 species
GCGUAUUAGCUAGUUGGUGAGGUAAAGGCUCACCAAGGCAGUGAUACGUAGCCGACCGAGAGGGUAAUCGGCCACAUUGGGACUGAGACACGGCCCAGACUCCUACGGGAGGCAGCAGUAGGGAAUCUCCCACAAUGGACGCAAGUCUGAUGGAGCAACGCCGCGUGAGUGAAGAAGGGUUUCGGCUCGUAAAGCUCUGUUGUUAAAGAAGAACGUGGGUAAGAGUAACUGUUUAACCAGUGACGGUAUUUAAACCAGAAAGCCACGGCUAACUACGUGCCAGCAGCCGCGGUAAUACGUAGGUGGCAAGCGUUAUCCGGAUUUAUUGGGCGUAAAGCGAGCGCAGGCGGUCUUUUAAGUCUAAUGUGAAAGCCUUCGGCUACAACCGAAGAAGUGCAUUGGAAACUGGGAGACUUGAGUGCAGAAGAGGACAGUGGAACUCCAUGUGUAGCGGUGAAAUGCGUAGAUAUAUGGAAGAACACCAGUGGCGAAGGCGGCUGUCUGGUCUGCAACUGACGCUGAGGCUCGAAAGCAUGGGUAGCGAACAGGAUUAGAUACCCUGGUAGUCCAUGCCGUAAACGAUGAUUACAAGUGUUGGAGGGUUUCCGCCCUUCAGUGCUCAGCUAACGCAUUAAGUAAUCCGCCUGGGGAGUACGACCGC